AUGUGGUUAGUGAAAGACUUUGAAAAUGGUAAUCUGGAUGUUUCUAGAUUAAACUUUGCUAUUAUUACCCUGAUUCCUAAGGUUAGCAAUGUUAAAGAUAUGAAUUUUUUUAGACCUAUCAGCCUUGGAAACUGUUUUGUUAAAAUAUUUUCAAAAGCUAUGAAUACUAGGGCUUCCCCUAUAUGUGACAGAAUUAUCUCUCAAAACCAAACUACGUUUAUUAAAUGGAGAUUCAUACUUGAAAGUGUGGUCAUGGCUCAUGAAGUGAUUCAUGAGAUCCAUAGAACUGGCUCUAGUGGCCUGGUGUUAAAGUUGGAUUAUGAAAAAGCCUAUGAUAAGGUGAAUUGGGAUUUCCUUGUGGAAAUGCUUAAGUCUAGAGGUUUUGGUAGAAAUGGAUAG
rnacentral:rRNA from 1 species